AGUGAACGCUGGCGGUAGGCCUAACACAUGCAAGUCGAACGGCAGCACAGAGGAGCUUGCUCCUUGGGUGGCGAGUGGCGGACGGGUGAGGAAUACAUCGGAAUCUACUCUGUCGUGGGGGAUAACGUAGGGAAACUUACGCUAAUACCGCAUACGACCUACGGGUGAAAGCAGGGGAUCUUCGGACCUUGCGCGAUUGAAUGAGCCGAUGUCGGAUUAGCUAGUUGGCGGGGUAAAGGCCCACAAAGGCGACGAUCCGUAACUGGUCUGAGGAGGUGAUCAGCCACACUGGAACUGAGACACGGUCCAGACUCCUACGGGAGGCAGCAGUGGGGAAUAUUGGACAAUGGGCGCAAGCCGGAUCCAGCCAUACCGCGUGGGUGAAGAAGGCCUUCGGGUUGUAAGGCCCCUUUGUUGGGAAAGAAAUCCAUCUGGUUAAUACCCGGGUGGGAUGACGGUACCCAAAGAAUAAGCACCGGCUAACUUCGUGCCAGCCGCCGCUGUAA
rnacentral:rRNA from 1 species